rnacentral:lncRNA from 1 species
UGCAUUCUCAUCAGCCAAAAACGUCCUAAGGGUUUCUUCAAGCUGGUUUUUCAUAACUUUUGCACCAAGUGAGUUAAUCCUUGCCUUUUUCUUGUAAUUUUUGUGUUUCUAAGACUUUUACAACUAGGUCCUAUUACUAAAUUCAUUAGUUUUUGAUUUUAUGAAUGAAAUUGAAAGUUGCUAUGAAUAUGUGCUGUAAGUUUAUGAUGAAAUAGCAUGAAAGUGAAGCUUUAAUUUGUUUAUGAGAUGAUUUUAUUAGGUAAUUUCAAUAGAAAUUGAUUUGUAGGACCUAAUUGUGAAAAGGUUUGGAGUUAAAGUCUAGUACUAAAAUUCUGAUUUCCAAAGCUUACAAAGUAGUAUAAUGUGAUGGGAUAAAGUGUUAAUUGAGAAAAAUCAGCUCAAUUGAGAGGUUAAUUGAGUAGGGAUGAAAUUAUUAAUUAUUGAAAGCUUAGGGAAAAAUGGUAAUUAACAUCAUGCACUAAAACAGUUUUGGACAGCAGCAGUAGUCUAACUUUGAAAAAUCACCAAAAAUUGUAGAGAUCGAAUUAUAGGGUGAAAACAAUAUGAAAUUAAAUCUUAUUGAGUUUAGUUUCUUAUAAAAGAAACGGUGUAAGUAAUGGAAUUGUAAAUCAUGAGAUAUAAUAGAUUUCGUGAGACAAGGUCAGAAUGAAUUCGGGUUCCCCUGUUUUGACUUUGGAAAAUUAUCAAAAAUUGGAUAAAAAUAAUUAGGGGAUUAAAUUUAUAUGUUUAAAAUCCUUAAUGAGUUUAUUUUCAAAAGAAACAAGUGAUAACAUCAUCCAAAUUCUGUACAAUGAGAUAAUUAAUUUUUAGUGAAGAGAGGUCGGAAUUGUCAAACAGUGAAACAGGGGAAACUUUAAAGAAUAAACUGUACUUAUUGGCUAAACCAAAAAUUCUGAAAAUUUUAUGGUAAGAAUAUAUGAGAGUCUAGUUUUGGAGAAAAUUAGCAGAUCUUAAUUUGGAGUUCUGUAGCUCAAGAUAUGAAUAAUUUAGUGACUGUGACUCAGUGAGACAGCUUUGAAUGCACUAUAAAUAAUAAUGGAAUUAUAGAGAAUGUUACAUAUGAACAUGAAAAGUAUUAGAUUAAUGAUUAAAUUUAUUUAUUUAGAUCUAGAAAAUUCAAAUAUGAAGCAAGAUCGAGAAAAAGAAAAAGUUUGGGAUUAGUAGAUUUUUGUUUACGAACAAUUGUCGAGGUAAGUUCGUGUAACUUGAAUUAUAUUCUUAAAUGCUUGAAAUGUUUGUUAUUGAUGUGAAUAUGAUAUGAAUGUUCAUUGUAUGAAAAUUGAUGAAGCAUUGAUAUAUUUGAUAAAAAGGGGAAGAAAUCCCGGUUGAAUGGAAGGAAAAUUCGAUGGAUCUCUGAAAAAGAAUUGACGGUAAAAAGGAUCUAGCCCAGACGGGUGAUCCUAUCCUAAUAUAGCCCUCUCGAAGAAUAUGUGGAAAAUAGAUUUAGCCCGGACGGGUAAUCCGAAUUAGGGUCUGAAUUUAGCCUGGACUGGUAAUUCAGAUCCAAGCUCAUUAGAGUAAUUGUCAUUGCAGGGGAUUUAGCCUGGACUGGUAAUCCCGACAAUACUCUAUGAGUUUAUAUUACAGGGGAUUUAGCCUGGACUGGUAAUCCCGCUGUAAGGAUGAGGUUCGCGGAAGUGUGCUCUCUGAAAUGGAAAUGUGCGCACAUGAAUAUGAAUUGACGAACCCGGAUUUGUACACUUAGGUGUACUCCUGAAAAUCCAUCGAAAUUUCGAGAAAUUCAACGGGAUAAAUAUGAAAAAAUAGCAAGGGAAUGGAAAAUAUGGAAUUGAUGAGCUCAUCAAUCAUUUGUCUUUGUAAUGAAUUUAUAUGAUGUUUACUUAACUAAUGCAAAAGUUGAGUUUGUAUGUGAUAGGUAUAUGUUUAUGUGAAUUGGAUGUGUGCUUGUGUUAUUAAAUGAUAGGUGUAUAAUAUGGUAAGUAUAAUUCCUGUUGCAUGAACUUACUAAGCACAAUGUGCUUACCCCGUUCUCUUUUUCCCUAUUUUGUAGUGCUCGGGAGCUCGAAGGUUGGAGUUUAGUCAGAGCUUUAUCACACUAUCAACCCAUAUCUUUUGGUAUUUGAAAAUGACUUAUUUUGAAAGAAUGACAUGUAUAGACUAAAUACCAAUAUUACAUAGAAAUGAAUGUUUGUAACUUAGCUGUUGGUAUGGCUAGAGUAAGUAUAACUUUGAGAUUUUGCGAAAAAUUUCUUAUGGCUUCGAUUUAAUAUCAGUUUAGUCCCGAUGUAUGUUUUGGGCUUCGGAGGCCCAUCCAAGGGACGUCAUGACAUGAUUCAAUAAAUAAAUAGUAUUUAAACUCAUAAUAACAGAAAAAAAUUAAUUCAAUAAAAUCUGGUAAUGCCCCAUAUCCUAUUCCGGCGACGGAUACGGGUAGGGGGUAUUACAGUCAUUUCACUAUAGUGUCGUGACAGAGCUCUCCCUAAUUACAUAUCAUUACAAAAUCUACUUAAUCAAUGUUCGUCCAAUGACCUUGUCAUAAGUGUGUGUUACUCUCAUAGGGUAUCCUUAAUUUAUUUGGGAUAAAUUUGUUCUCCCAAUAUGAUCCUAUUUUAUCUUAUGGUAAUCAUUAUAUCUUCUUUCAUGAAAAGUCAAUAACUAUCAAAUAAAAAUCAAGUCAUUUAUCAUAAAGACAAACGAUUCAUGACCACGUUUACUUUCAUCUAUCACGUAAUGCUGAUGAGAUAGUAUCAUUUACUCAUUAGUUGAGAUAUGAAUUCCACUAUUGUGAAUAAUGUUACAUGCUACAAAAGUUGUUUACCUAACGCACCAGUUUUCAAUUCUUUAUUUAUUUGUAGUAAUGCUUUUACUUACAUCAAAGUAUAUGAGUCAUGUAUAUAUAGUCCAUCACCCAUUUAGGAUUUAGGUAUGCCACACGAAGGAUGCCGCAAGUGAAUAAAUUCGUAAAUGAAUCUAGAAUUAUGUAACGCCCCUAUUUUCUAAAUUUUGAAUUGUUAAAUUAUGUCAAGUGAUUUAAUAUGUUUUAGUGGUUAAAUGCCUUGAAUUUGUGCUUUAGGUCUUGUGUUUGAUUCCCUUCCCUUUGAAAAUUUUCCAUUAAUUUUGAAACUAUGUCUAACUUGGUUCAUAAGGGUUAUCUUUUAUUUUUGUAAGAUUGUUAACAAGAAUGAGCUUGUUGAUUCAAUGGUAAGGCUUCAUCCUAUCCAGAGGUUCUAUGUUUGAAUCCUAUACGUGUGAAACAAAUUUAAUUUUUGCCUAGAUUCUGUUGUUGUUGUCCAAGGGUUUGAUUUUGUCAGAUUUAUUUUUUAUUUGAAAAUAUUAAAAAUAUCCUUAAAAUUCCUCCCCACUUUUGUUGUCCAGUAUCUCUACUUCUCUUCACUUUUUUCUUUUUUCCUCUUUUCUUUUGUCCUUCUAUUGAUUUUUUCCUUUUCCCUUUUUGUCGUUUUCCUUUCUGUUUAUUAUUCUUCUUCUUUUCGUUUUUCUUGGUUUCUUAAUUUCACGAGCGAUUCUUUGUUCAUUUGUUAUAGCGCUGAUGUUGGUCCUCCAUUCUUAGUUGUUGGUUGUAUGUUAAGGGUGAUUCAGUAGCAAGAGGUUCGUGAGACGCACAACCAUUCUUCGCUGAUUUACUGUUGUAGGACUGCUGGUUUUCUGGGACCUUGUUGUUGUUUUAGUGUCAAUAUUCCAACAACAUUAAGGUGUGUGUUUCUAACCAGAAAACAUCGAAUCAAUCACGAAAAUCUAGAAAUUUUCGUGAAAAUUUGAAAUUGGCAGACAACGCCACAUGACCAUGUGGUUGGUUGUACGAUCCACACAAUCGUCUGGGCCACAUGAAACUAAUAGGUUAGGUUGUGUAGGCCCAUUCCGAGCAGAUUUGUUCAGGUUGUGUUAUAGGUUGUAUGUUUGAAAGCAACGAUUUAUAUAUAUUCGUAGAUGGUAACAAAGUAAUCAAUUAUGUUUUUUUGGUACGUUAGUGAUGUUUGUAUAAAUAUUGAAAGCAUGCUUAGUUAUAUAAAAUUGGCAUGUUCUGAUCUAUUUCAUUCGUAAUGAGCAUAGUAUCUCUGUGUAUGAAAUUCUAAAAUAUCUGAAUUUGUUUAUGACUACACAUAUGCAUUGGGGUGGGAUAUGGUAAUGUGGCGAAAGAAGUGUGCUUCUAGCAGUUUUACUGCAAUUUUGGUGGUAUACCCACAAUAUAUAUUCUAGCAGCACAGCUGCAAACUUUUUGACUGGCAUACGACCACAUUUUGGUGUGAUUGAUGGAUGAAUUCUUGUAGCCCUAAUUGGUGUGAUUGGUUGGAUAGAGUUGGUGCGUAGCAAAUGGGGGUAGGAGUGUUCAGUCUUGAUAUAUGCAUUUACGAAUGUGAAAUAUCUGAUUUUUCUAUUCUGAUGAAUGCAUUAAAGCAUGUUCUGAUAUGAUUUUUGCUUGUGGGCCAUGGCACACAUUGGGCUUUUUAGCUCACUCUGUUUGUUUAACAUUUUUCAGGUGAUCCUCAAACUUAUGAUUUAGCGGUGCUCGAGAGCUCGGAUCGGUUUACUAUUUUUAACUAUUUCAUAAACUUUUAUUUCGGAUUAUAUGGACUAUCAGACUAUUUUUUUCGGACUCUAAAUUUGGUUUAAAGUUUGUUAAAUAUUUUUUUUUAGUUGGUAAUUUUUUUUAAUUGGGAUGAUUUCUGGUAAUACGAAUCAAAUGAACGGUUUUCAAAUUAAACAACC